ACUUCGGUAAGGCCCCUGACCUGCUGAACCAGCAAGUCGAAUUGCUCCAUGCUGACUGUUGUUGCCAGAGGAGGAGGAGUCUGGGAUACUGGAGAUGAGAUCGGAGCUUGCGGAGGCCACGGAGGUCGUGGAUCGCCUGGUGGAUGCCUUUCAAGGAGGCAUCAGGUGGAGAUCCGACAGGAGAAGGAGAGGAAGAUGUCAGAGAGAAUGAUCGAAGAUGGUCCUAUUGAGCACUCCUUUAAGAACAAGGGUACUACGAAGACACAGGACCCUCCCUCUAGCGCCAAUUC
rnacentral:lncRNA from 1 species